UACGCCAUAGGGGGGGAAGCAGUUAAAUAUGUUCCACAAUGGGCGAAAGCCCGACGGAGCGGCAAUGCGUGAUGGAUGAUGGCAAUAGGGUCGUACCCCUCUAAAAGAAGGAUGAUAAGGCCGGUACCUCAAGAGAAGCACCGGCUAACUCCGUCCCAGCAGCCGCGGUAAUACGGAGGGUGCAAGUGUUAUCCGGAAUCACUGGGUGUAAAGGGCGCGUAGGCGGUUUGUUAAGUCCGAUGUCAAAUCCCGGGGCUCAACCCCGGAUUGGCGUUGGAUACUGGCAGGCUUGAGGGCAGGAGAGGCGAGUAGAAUUUCCAGUGUAGCGGUGGAAUGCGUAGAUAUGGGUAAGAAUACCCGUUGAGAAGGCAGCUCGCCGUACAUCACGUGGCGGAGAGGAAAGAAAGGGUGGGGACCAAACUAGAUUACAUACCCGGGUACUCCCCACCCUAAGGGCAGCAUACUUGGUGUCGCUCCACGGGGUCAGUGCCGGAGCUAACGCGUUAAGUAU
rnacentral:rRNA from 1 species